AGAGUUGAUCCUGGCUCAGGAUGAACGCUAGCGGCGCGCCUUAUGCAUGCAAGUCGAACGGUCUCUCGCAAGAGAGAUAGUGGCAAACGGGUGAGUAAUAGAUAAAUAACCUGCCUUUAAGUGGGGGAUAACACUUCGAAAGAAGUGCUAAUACCGCAUGUGAUGCUCUUUCAUAAGAAGGAUCAUUAAAACCGCAAGGUGCUUGAAGAGGGGUUUGUCUCCGAUUAGCUUGUUGGUGGGGUAACGGCCUACCAAGGCAAUGAUCGGUAGCUGGUCUGAGAGGAUGGUCAGCCACACUGGAACUGAGACACGGUCCAGACUCCUACGGGAGGCAGCAGCAAGGAAUCUUGGGCAAUGGGCGAAAGCCUGACCCAGCGACGCCGCGUGAGGGAUGAAGGCCUUCGGGUUGUAAACCUCUUUUCUCAGGGAAGAAUAAUGACGGUACCUGAGGAAUAAGUCUCGGCUAACUACGUGCCAGCAGCCGCGGUAAUACGUAGGAGGCGAGCGUUAUCCGGAUUUAUUGGGCGUAAAGUGGGCGUAGGUGGUCUUUCAAGUCAGAUGUGAAAUCUCCCGGCUCAACUGGGAGGGGUCAUCUGAUACUGUUGGACUUGAGUAUGGCAGGAGAAAACGGAAUUCCCGGUGUAGUGGUGAAAUGCGUAGAUAUCGGGAGGAACACCAGAGGCGAAGGCGGUUUUCUAGGCCAAAACUGACACUGAGGCCCGAAAGCGUGGGGAGCGAACAGGAUUAGAUACCCUGGUAGUCCACGCCCUAAACACUGGGUACUAGGUAUAGGGAGUAUCGACCCUUUCUGUGCCGAAGCUAACGCUUUAAGUACCCCGCCUGGGGAGUACGGUCGCAAGACUAAAACUCAAAGGAAUUGACGG
rnacentral:rRNA from 1 species